rnacentral:rRNA from 1 species
AUUGAACGCUGGCGGCAUGCUUUACACAUGCAAGUCGAACGGUAACAGGUCUUCGGAUGCUGACGAGUGGCGUACGGGUGAGUAACACAUCGGAACGUGCCUAGUAGUGGGGGAUAACUACUCGAAAGAGUAGCUAAUACCGCAUGAGAUCUAAGGAUGAAAGCAGGGGACCUUCGGGCCUUGCGCUACUAGAGCGGCUGAUGGCAGAUUAGGUAGUUGGUGGGAUAAAAGCUUACCAAGCCGACGAUCUGUAGCUGGUCUGAGAGGACGACCAGCCACACUGGGACUGAGACACGGCCCAGACUCCUACGGGAGGCAGCAGUGGGGAAUUUUGGACAAUGGGCGAAAGCCUGAUCCAGCAAUGCCGCGUGCAGGAUGAAGGCCCUCGGGUUGUAAACUGCUUUUGUACGGAACGAAAAGACUCUCUCUAAUAAAGAGGGUUGAUGACGGUACCGGAAGAAUAAGCACCGGCUAACUACGUG